rnacentral:rRNA from 1 species
CAAAUGACUCUCGGCAAUGGAUAUCUCGGCUCUUGCAUCGAUGAAGAACGUAGUGAAAUGCGAUACUUGGUGUGAAUUGCAGAAUCUCGUGAACCAUUGAGUCUUUGAACGCAAGUUGUGCCCGAGGCCUUGUGGUCGAGGGCACGCCUGCUUGGGCGUCAUGAU